UAUGCUGUGGUUGCUCUCUGUUCAGAGAUGGAUAGUUAGUCUUGUCACGUAGGAAUACCACUCUGUUCUGCUGUUGCUGAACCUGCCUGCUGACACCACUCUCCGCCUGCAAUCACCAGCCCUGCAUGCCUCGUCUUCCCUGGUGUUCAACACCUGCUCUGUCACCUGAGAGGACUCCCCCACCAGUCCAUUCUCCUACAUUCUCCGAUUCUGAAAGAAACUGUGUUAAAACAUCAA